rnacentral:rRNA from 1 species
GAUGAACGCCGGCGGCGUGCUUAACACAUGCAAGUCGAACGAACCUUCGGGUUAGUGGCGGACGGGUGAGUAACGCGUGAGAAUCUGCCCUCAGGAGGGGGAUAACGGCUGGAAACGGCCGCUAAUACCCCAUAUGCCGCGAGGUGAAAAGAAAUUCGCCUGAGGAUGAGCUCGCGUCUGAUUAGCUAGUUGGUGGGGUAAAAGCCUACCAAGGCGACGAUCAGUAGCUGGUCUGAGAGGAUGAUCAGCC